rnacentral:rRNA from 1 species
AGAGUUUGAUCAUGGCUCAGGACGAACGCUGGCGGCGUGCCUAAUACAUGCAAGUCGAACGCACUCUCGUUAGAUUGAAGAAGCUUGCUUCUGAUUGAUAACAUUUGAGUGAGUGGCGGACGGGUGAGUAACACGUGGGUAACCUGCCCUAAAGUGGGGGAUAACAUUUGGAAACAGAUGCUAAUACCGCAUAAAACCUAGCACCGCAUGGUGCAAGGUUGAAAGAUGGUUUCGGCUAUCACUUUAGGAUGGACCCGCGGUGCAUUAGUUAGUUGGUGAGGUAAAGGCUCACCAAGACCGUGAUGCAUAGCCGACCUGAGAGGGUAAUCGGCCACACUGGGACUGAGACACGGCCCAGACUCCUACGGGAGGCAGCAGUAGGGAAUCUUCCACAAUGGACGAAAGUCUGAUGGAGCAACGCCGCGUGAGUGAAGAAGGUUUUCGGAUCGUAAAACUCUGUUGUUGGAGAAGAACGUAUUUGAUAGUAACUGAUCAGGUAGUGACGGUAUCCAACCAGAAAGCCACGGCUAACUACGUGCCAGCAGCCGCGGUAAUACGUAGGUGGCAAGCGUUGUCCGGAUUUAUUGGGCGUAAAGCGAGCGCAGGCGGUUUCUUAAGUCUGAUGUGAAAGCCUUCGGCUCAACCGAAGAAGUGCAUCGGAAACUGGGGAACUUGAGUGCAGAAGAGGACAGUGGAACUCCAUGUGUAGCGGUGAAAUGCGUAGAUAUAUGGAAGAACACCAGUGGCGAAGGCGGCUGUCUGGUCUGUAACUGACGCUGAGGCUCGAAAGCAUGGGUAGCAAACAGGAUUAGAUACCCUGGUAGUCCAUGCCGUAAACGAUGAGUGCUAGGUGUUGGAGGGUUUCCGCCC